GCCCCUUCCCUGUUACUAUAUUUGGAGGUAGCUUCUAGGAAAAAAAUAAUUUUCAGACGGUCUUGGACUCACCACACCUACUAUACAAGGACUCACUUCACCUAAGAUUCUCUGACAAGGACCCUAAAGGAGUUUAGAAGCCAAAUGACUGGGAUCAUCAACUCCAGUGACAGAGCGGCAUGUCUUUGUAACAGUGUUGCAGAAAUGAGCAUGGAGAGGGAAUGGGAAAGGGGAGAGAGGUGUCUUUGUGGCAACAAUGAGUGAAUCUUCUCUAGUUAUCUCCUGGUUGCUGGGUUUUCCCCCCUGCACUUUCUUUUGCAGUUGAAAGGAAGAUGAUCGUUUUAAAAUUAUUAAUCCUCCUUUUUUUCUUCUUCUUUUCACCCUCCCUGCCACCCCCCUUGAUGUGGCCUCUUGUUUAGCUUGUGGCGUGACCAUGAUGAAGAAAUUUUUCUGGGAGCCUGGCAGUGUGAUCUUUUUAUGUAAUGAGUCAGGAUUUUGCCAAGGGAAGGAGCAGGGUUUGAGGAUUGAGUGUGUCUCCUUUCAAGAAGAAAACUGACAGGCGAGAUGCACCUUUUCCCCAGGAUCCUUUUUCCCCCUCCCCGCCUCACAGGAAUGACAAGUGCAGGAUUGUCUGGCUGUACCUUUCUCAGUGUUUCUGAAUGUGUGGCUUUCUACUUUAAUCUCUGCCGUAAUGCUGUGCCUCAAGAUAUCUUCCCUCCUUGGAAUAUUUGCCUCAUGGGCUUUAAGAAAUCUGCAUUUUACCCUAAAAUCAUCUAUCUAAUUGCUGACUCACAGAACUAUGUGAAAUGCUCAGAAGGAAAUCGGAUACUCUGAUACUACCAACAACAACAAAAAAACAGUCCUGCUUUCAAGAUUUUUUUUUUUUAAGUCAACUGGAAAUCCAGGCCAGAUUCACAGACAUUUCAGUGAACCUGGGCUUAUUUAUGGUUUCAUGUCAGUAGAAUGGUAAGUUAAAAUUGGUGACAGGAAUUGGGUGAAACUCAGAGCUUUUGGAGUUUGGGGUUUCACUGAACCUAAGGUAUGUGAAAUUAUGUGGUCGAAAAAUAAGAAAAUGUCUGCACUAACCCUUUUGAGGCAAAAUUACUAAGGUUCACACCAAGUCUUUGCACUGCCCAUAAAGCAAAAGUCCCAGAAGCUAGAAGUCAUUCUGCUGCAGGGAGCACAGGAGAUCCCCCUCUUAUUAAUGCCGAGUGAUUGAGCAUCAUAGACUAUGUAAAUGUUGUGUUUAUAAAAAGGGGUAGGUGCAUGUCCAGGAGGAGGAUCUGUACAAAACAGAGGUAGACUUUGAUAGCUGAACCACACAAUGAGUAAACAAGACUGAUGACCUUCCAGAAUAUUGCUACAGGCAAGCUCUUUGUGCUCAUGUUUACUGGAAGGCUUCACUUUUUUUUGUGGGGGAGGGUGGAACAAAUCUACAGCCAUGUAUUUAAUUCAUGUACUCUAACAAAUGCUUUGCUGCAUUAAAUGUUGCCUUGCUAAUGAGCAUGUGCCUUGCAUGAAUGCAAGGAGUAUCAGAGUAUUGUAAGAACAAUUGUAAAGGACCUUAUAUCCAUUUAUAUUGCAUGCUGGUUAGUAAGAAAACCUUGUGCAAGCAAGAAAAAGGUACUUGGUCCAUUAUGAAAUGCAUGCUUGGCUGUAUAAAGAGCAUUUCCUGAUCAUUACAGAGAUAUUUCUGUAUUAUUCCAGCCCUUGUAGGUGCACUGAAUCUAGAGAGCCUCUGAUAUACUGUCCUAGAAACACAUUUCAGGUACAGUAUGUAGUUUGAGUUCCAGCACAUUUUGAAAUGGCAAGAAUAGUCAACAAAAUAUCCAGUAGCAAAAUCCUGGACAAAACUGCACAAUGCAAAAAUUUGGGUUAGCCUAGUCUUCACACUGUGACUGCGGAGCAGCAAUGCAGAUGGUCAAACGUGGUGGAGGAGUCACAAUUAGAAGACUGGAGGGUGGACUGCAACACCUUGCCACCUCAAUGAUGCAGCAGUUCGAUGGCUGAACAAUCUAGCUACUGAAUUGGGGAGCACAUGAAAGAAGAAGAAUAAACCUCCAAACCGCAAACACGUUUGUAUAACAUCACAACUCUUAUACACUUAGGGAAUUUAUAAAGGAAGUUGACAAGGGGCCAAAUUUAUCCAUAGUGCCUCUCCACUGACUCAAAUGGGUGAAUUUAGUUUAAGAAGUCACCCCUUAACUUUUUUUUAUUUGUAUUACAAAUUUAACAUUAGUUAUAUACUGAAUAUAAUUUGUUUGUAUGUUGGGAAAACUAAUGAAAUACUCAUUGCAUCUGCUGGGCUGUGGUAUGCAGAUGUUCAUUAAUAUUAAAUUAUGUGUUAAAUUUACCUUGAUUUUCCAAAGUAAACCAAUCAUCCUUAAUGACACGGUUAAUACAUUUCACCCCAAACGUAGCCUCCCUUUAAAGUUAUAUGACAGUUGUAAACUUGCUUCUUAUUGCAGCUUUAUGGAAGUGAGUUCUCUCUUAUCAAUCCUUCCAGACCUGAUUUUUUUUUUUUAAAUGGCACUUAGUCCUAACAAAAUAUAUAGCUUCUUGCAUGCAGGGUAUCCAGAUCACAGCAAGAGUUAAAAUUAUAUUGGUUCUGAAGGAGAGCCAAGCAAAGAGUUUUCCAGCUACCUGUGUUUUUGUGGUAGAAUCCAAUGAAUUCUUUUAUCACUCUGUUCUUUAUAUCUGAUAUUUCAGACACUUUGGUCACAUCUUGCGCUUUUCGCUAUGUAUUUUAAAUUUGUGAACUUGUACUCAUAAUUGCCAUACCCACCGGGCACUUUGCCACAGAGUCAACUUUUUGUAUAAUUACAGAAAGAAAAGGAGUACUUGUGGCACCUUAGAGACUAACAAAUUUAUUUGAGCAUAAGCUUUUGUGAGCUACAGCUCACUUCAUCGGAUGCAUUCAUUGGCACCCUGACAGCAGGACUGUC